CUUUUGCUGACGACCGGCGCACGGGUGAGUAACACGUAUCCAACCUGCCCUUUACUCGGGGAUAGCCUUUCGAAAGAAAGAUUAAUACCCGAUAGCAUAAUGAUUCCGCAUGGUUUCAUUAUUAAAGGAUUCCGGUAAAGGAUGGGGAUGCGUUCCAUUAGGUUGUUGGUGAGGUAACGGCUCACCAAGCCUUCGAUGGAUAGGGGUUCUGAGAGGAAGGUCCCCCACAUUGGAACUGAGACACGGUCCAA
rnacentral:rRNA from 1 species